CAUUUCUCCUUAUGACCGAUUGUACCAAAGUUUCAAAGCAAAGUCCAACAAACUAUUGUAUUGACAACAGAGCUGAGCGUAUACACACUCUCAUCGCUUCCUUUCCCCUUCCCUCUCUAUAUGGAGAUGAAAAGAUCUUUCAUGUUGUUUCCUCUUGUUGCAUUAUUUAUUGCCGUGUGGCGCUUUAUUAGCUGGUUUCAUCUCAGAUUUCGCAGGCUGUUUUUGGGGAAGCCUUUGAAAUGUGUUUCUGACUCCAAACAAUCCUUUUCCCGCUUUCUCUCACUUGCUCCAGUCGCCUUCUCUCUCAUGAUAACCCCCCCCAACAUAUUUUCAAAGUGAAUUGAGCCACGCUCUGAAGCCAAAAUCCAUUCAAUACUGUCCUAAGGAAGGGAGAUGUUGUUCUUGUUCCUUGGCUGACAUGAAAGGAGAACAGAGGAUCCUUUUUUGUCAUUAGCCUUAUUAGCAUCAUUAGUGCUAUAUGGAUGAACUUCAAAUGAUUGGCUUGGAGUUAUUUGUGUUACCAUAGAAGCAACAUGAACGCUAUUUUAUGUUCUGUGUUGGAGACUGUUGCAUUGCGAAUGAGGUGGGUUCCUUUUGAAGAGAGCUGAUGUGUUCCGGAUUCAACCACUAGAUGGUGGAGCAACUCCUGAUUCAGAAUGAGGCUGACUGGAAGUGGAGAGGGGAGUUGGCGUCGCUGGAAGAUAUGAGAGAUUUGGUGAUGUUUAAAACCACAUAAUCACAACUUAAAACAGAUCUGUUUCAUUCCAGUAUUUAUGAACGUUACCAAGCUGCACACACCCUCUGAAAAUCUUUGACUCCAUCUACAUAUUACAAAUUUCCCUUUCACAUAUUGUCAGCUCCUUCCAGUAAAAGCCCAGGUAUGCUCGGAGGAAAACAAAGAAAGAGGACAAAGCAAGAGGAAUCCAAUGUGGCAAGGCAGUAGAAACAUUUUUAAUAUUUUGAAAGAGCACAGGGAAUGACUAUAUGCAGAGAAAUAUGUUACUGUAAAUUACAAUAAGCAGAGAAAAAUCUCCUCUGGCUGGUUAAGAGCUUAAAGCACCAGCAUGACUCUGGAAUCAAAGCGACCAUCACAUCGGGAAGCUCCAACCACUCUGCAGUUGAUGGUGGAUAAGCCCAGCAGGCCUGAUUUGGUUUGAACUCGUCUUUUAUUCAUUCCAUCUCUCCCAGUACCCACACCUCCACAAUGGCCCGGUUUCUCCUGGCAGGCCUUAAUCUCUCUCCCUAAUCGGCUGCAGACGUGAGGCUUUGCCAUUCCUCACAGGGAUACGCAUGGGAUAUGGCCAAGUUUUACAGAGUGAGUGUGGAGGUACUUGGUGCAACAGUGGCAGAAGUGUUGUCACUUUCGGGUUUAGAGAACUCAGUGUGCUACCUUGCCUUGUGCCUUCAUGGUUUUCCAAAUCUGCUGAGAUGAGGAGAGGGAGCGCAUGCUACUGAGGUCAUACCUAAAUGUCAGCAGAAUUAAUGAACCCAGAGUAGCCAGCUGAUCCCAGCAUUCAAGACCACUUGGGUCCAGCAUCAAACGCACACCAGCGCUUUGAUUCUCUGAGGGAGUCUUCCUAAAGG